UACGUAGGUGGCAAGCGUUGUCCGGAUUUACUGGGUGUAAAGGGCGCGUAGGCGGGAAUAUAAGUCAGGUGUGAAAUCUAUGGGCUCAACCCAUAAACUGCACUUGAAACUGUAUUUCUUGAGUGAUGGAGAGGCAGGCGGAAUUCCUAGUGUAGCGGUGAAAUGCGUAGAUAUUAGGAGGAACACCAGUGGCGAAGGCGGCCUGCUGGACAUUAACUGACGCUGAGGCGCGAAAGCGUGGGGAGCAAACAGGAUUAGAUA
rnacentral:rRNA from 1 species